CGGAAGGAUCAUUGUACACAC
rnacentral:rRNA from 1 species